AGCCUUCUGAAUCCAUGCUGAGAUUUUAUCAGCCACUAGAUUAUUAGGACUGAUCAUACUCCAAAGAUAAGUGAAGCG
rfam:Schistosoma haematobium scaffold182_19, whole genome shotgun sequence.